UUCGUCCAAUUGAAGCAGAGGACAGUGGCGGACGGGUGAGUAACGCGUGAGGAACCUGCCUUUCAGAGGGGGACAACAGUUGGAAACGGACGCUAAUACCGCAUAACAUCUGAGAGUCGCAUGGCACUCAGAUCAAAGGAGCAAUCCGCAGGAAGAUGGGCUCGCGUCCGAUUAGCCAGUUGGUGAGGUAAAGGCCCACCAAGGCGACGAUCGGUAGCCGGACUGAGAGGUUGAACGGCCACAUUGGGACUGAGACACGGCCCAGACUCC
rnacentral:rRNA from 1 species